GCUACACGUGGGAUAUAACGCACACACGCCUCCGUAUAUGCGGAAUAACCUACAUGACCACGAAUCGCCCGCAUGUUCUUUCUAUCAGAAACAGAAGGUCGGCCUAUUGCGGGAUCUGAUUUGCUGCAGGGUUCGAAACAGGAAAUCGAAGUUCCUUCCGUCUCCAUGCCACAUAUCAAGCGUUCCGCGACACUUUCACUAUUGAAACCUGCUACUGAGAACGCACGAACCGUUGGGAAGGACCUGCAAUGACACGAGGAACAGCACUUCUCUGUUUGGCCCUUCUGGCUGCUGCCCUCGCUUUGGGAACUGCCAGAAGUCCCCCAUAUACAGGUGAUAAGCCGAGGUACUGCUCCUUGCCCGCCGAAAGCGGCCUCUGUUACGCAUAUAUGCCCCGCUACUACUACGCAACUGACGUCAAAGACUGCGUCGAGUUCGUCUACGGCGGCUGCGGAGGCAACGACAACCGUUUCGAUACCUAUGAAGAAUGCACCGCUCGCUGCCGCAACUGACAUGAUUGCCUCUAUAAAACUGACUGCAUGUACUACCUCUAGUGUGUUCCACUUUUCGCUCGUACAGCCAUGUAUAGGCCUUUGGACGCCUUACAGUUGUGUCUCGCUUGUACACGUAUAAUCGACCCGUUGAUAUCACAAACUAGUCCUGCUUGCGCAAGGAGCAAACAAUAUGACUCGUCGCUUUGUAUGACGGUAUAAUAAACUUACAUACGUUGUGUGCAA